UACGUAGGGUGCAAGCGUUGUCCGGAAUUAUUGGGCGUAAAGAGCUCGUAGGCGGUCUGUCGCGUCGGCUGUGAAAACCCGGGGCUCAACCCCGGGCCUGCAGUCGAUACGGGCAGACUAGAGUGCGGUAGGGGAGACUGGAAUUCCUGGUGUAGCGGUGAAAUGCGCAGAUAUCAGGAGGAACACCGGUGGCGAAGGCGGGUCUCUGGGCCGUAACUGACGCUGAGGCACGAAAGCGUGGGUAGCAAACAGG
rnacentral:rRNA from 1 species